rnacentral:rRNA from 1 species
UACGUAGGGUGCAGGCGUUACUCGGAAUUACUGGGCGUAAAGCGUGCGCAGGCGGUCUUUUAAGUCAGAUGUGAAAUCCCCGGGCUUAACCUGGGAACUGCGUUUGAAACUGGAAGGCUUGAGUGUGGCAGAGGGGGGUGGAAUUCCACGUGUAGCAGUGAAAUGCGUAGAGAUGUGGAGGAACACCGAUGGCGAAGGCAGCCCCCUGGGCUAACACUGACGCUCAUGCACGAAAGCGUGGGGAGCAAACAGG